rnacentral:lncRNA from 1 species
GAUGGGGAGUUAGUUACUAGAGCGAGGUACAGGUCCCGGUAGAGCUCUGGCUCUGUGUACCUGGGGAGGGGUUGGUGCAUUCAGUCCAGUUAAAGUCCCAGUACCUUCAGAGAAUAUCUCACACCAACCACCAUGCCUAGGAAGAGUGAUGUGGGGGCGAAGAUUGAGGAUGUUGGAAUCGAGAUCGAUGGGGACGUGAGUGACAGUGAGGAUGACACCAGUCGAAGGAGAGGGAACAGAAGACCGACAGCUGGCAGAGGAGGAGCCCGCGGCAGGGGCAAAAAGCCAGCUGAUGAGGAUGAGGAGGACGAGGAGGAAGAGGAGGCCCCCAGAAACCGCAGAGGAGCCAACAAGAAGAAGGCUGCUAAGUCACGUGACACCGACGACGAAAGUGAGGAUGACACCCCCAAGAGAAGACAAGGAAGAGCAGCAAAUAAAGGAGCAGCAAACAAAAAGAAAGGAGGAAAGGCCCAGGACAAUGACGAGGACAGCGAGGAGGAGAAGGGGAACAAGAGAAACAAGAAGGGAGCCACGGGAAAGAAGGGGAAAGAAGAGGAGACCAAAGAUAAGAAAGGAGACGCCAAAGGGAAGGGCAAAGGAAAGGAGAAGGAAGACGAGAAGGACAAGAAGAAGAAGAAGAAGAAGAAGAAAGAGAGCAGGUAUCUCAAAUCAAAUCAAAUCAUCAAAUCAAAUAAUAUUGAGUGGAAAUCAGGGCCCAAGAUUCUAAACGUAGUACUAAACAGCGCAGGAAUCAAAAU